GCAAGUCACACACGUCAUUGUUGACACAUACCACCUGACAACUGAAGCACAUAAAACAUUUGUCGUCUGUCAUCUCUUCAUUCUCCACCUGCUCAGCAGCAGCUCUCCUUCCAUUCACCCAGCAGAGUGUUUCAGUUGUGAUGGCAGCAUCAGUGUCACCCAGCAGCAGAGGACUGGCUACAGUCAGAACCUCCAAAGGCCUCUUCCUCAUCUUCUCUCUGCUCAGUCUGCUUCAUGUUGCAACUUCACAGACAAGUAACAUGGACAAACUGAAUGUGAUGAUGGAGCAGUUGUCACACUCGGAUACUUUUUCUUGGAAAUUGCUGGAAUUAAUGAAGGAGCUCUAUCAGGGAGCAGUAGAAGAUCUAGUUAGAGAUAAGGCAGCACAUGAGGAGAGAGUUGAAACUGUUUCUGAUGCAUUUGGUGAAGCCAUAGAUCAGUUCAAUUAUGUUUUGGAGCUGGUGGGGGAAGUGUCUGAUGGGUCUGAACUGAAGGAGAUGAUGCAGGAUUUCGUGGACAAAUCCAUAACUUACACAAACCAAAAGAUGGAGAGCUACACUGAACAACUACAUAACAAUGAAGAAAGACUGCGAGAAAUUCAUGAAACAAUAGAAUACUUGGAGAAGUCCAAAGAUGAGGAACUGUAAGUUCACAUCUCUGUCUCUGUUGAUCUGUGUAAAAUUCUGUGCAGCUUUAGUUUUUGUGAAUCCUGGUUUCCUCUCUGUUUUUAACAUGUGUCUGAGUGGUGUGAUAGGACACAAAACAUGUCAAUGCAUGCUCUUUGAUAUAUACACUUUUCUUGGCAUUUAACCUAGUUUUACUCCUGACUAGUGGUUACUCUUCUGUCAAUCAGUUAUUUAAUUAAACUGCUCUACAUGAGUAUAACCUGUUGUUUAUAUACAUAUAAAUAUAAAUAAACACAUAAAUGCAAUAUAUAAAAACUUUUUUUGUCUGAUACCUCAUUUCCUGACAGUCUUUAACAUUUGAGGUGUGUUAUUAUACCAGAGUUUAACGUUGUCAACACUAAGUAGAAGAAUGAAACAUGUUGUCUGUGAUUCAUAAGGUCUGUUGUAACAUUUGUGAUUUACUUAAACAUUUGUGUAAAGUGUAACUGCUACAUAGAAACGAAAAAAGCACAUCAAAUCAGGUAGAUACCAUCAUGUCCUCCAUGGUAUCCAAACAAUGCAGGACAGGAUGUGCUCACUCCCUCAGACAAACUAAUACAAGUGAGUCAUACAGAACGUGACACUAAGAAUAAAACGUUGACUGUUUCCUAAUUAU